UGUCCCACCCCCAUCACUGAGGAAACCGGAAAUGUUGGCUCAGGUCUAUAACCUUAACACCUGGAAGGUAGAGCUGGGAGGAUUCAUAGUUUAAGGUCAUCCUUGGCUGCAUAGUAAGAUCUAGGACAGCCUGGGCUACACGAGAUUCCAUCUCGACAACCGGAAACAAGAAAUCAAAGCAAGCUCCCUGGCGGUGUGUCUGUCAUGUAGGUCCCCUUGCCUUUCUGCGUUUGGCAUGAGUUGAAACACAGUGGGCCCCCUCCAGAAGUACAGAAGACGCUGGCAACGUGUGCCCACCUUCCCCGGCUUCAGAACUGUGGGACAAAGCUACCCCCUUGUUUAUAAAUUAUAAUUAUUCUCAAGAAAACUAAGCAACCGGGCUUAAAGUCCCUCCCUGCCCUGGGCUGCAGCUGAGUGAGACAUCGGCGGUUGGAUCCGAGUGCUCUUCUGUCCACAGCUUCUCGUUUUGAAGGUGUCGCUGGUCCCCACACUCACCUCAUUAUUGACAGAAGACUCACAGCUCUGGGCAUCUCUCCUGAUCAACUCUGGCUCUUUUAUCACAGGAAACUAGCAUUGAGAAACAGUCAUUCUGGAUGUCUCCACGUGGUGGCGCUUUCACAAGGUGUUGAUUGCAGAAACUGUAGAAACCCAGCAAAACUUAGGAGGAGGAAAGGGUCAUACUGCUCAACUGAUAGGAGUGCCACCGGAAGGGACACUUUGAGGCUGGGAUAGUCCACUCAGACCUGGGCAAGACUCCAGCUUCCCAUCAGGACAAGAGCCACAGGAUCACUACUCAGCUCUCUGCCCCAGCAGCCAGUCUGUGCCAGACCCUGAUCUUGCUCUGCAUCGACACGGUACAGAGUCAGCCAAAGCCAGACCUCUUGGAUCUGCUUGGCUUACCUCUCUGCACCCUGGCCUGGAACAGAUGCCCAGAGAGAAAACUGUGCGCCCUCUUGCCCUAACGCAGCCCUGUCCAGUAUCUGUCUCAUUGCUUUAUUCAGCUUUCCAGAAGGAAGAGGAAUCCUCUGUGCUUCUUUUGUUCCGCUGCUCAGCAUCUGAAUGCACAUCUUUGCAGAAGUCUGCAUCUUGCUGUGCUCACUGUAUACAUUGUUGAAGGCAAUCAUGUCCCUUGAAAGCCCCUGCACAUUAUUCACAAGAUUCUUCCUCUGCAAGGUGGUCCACUGGGAGUCUAAAAACACAGAGAGGCCUUCCAGGAGCGGCUGUUCAUGAGAGGCCUCCCUUGCUUGUGUUUCUCCGGAAUGGAAACACUCGCUAUUCAUUGGAUGAAUGAGCAAGUAUGCAUGCAUCCACUUCAGGCCAUUAAUUGUUUUUUUCCUUGUGUUUAUGCCCAGGCCCCAUGUGUGGCAAAAAGUCACAUCCAUUCUUGUUGCUUAAUCACUACCUAGGUGCCUGGGGUCUCACCACCUGCCCUCGUUCCUUUCCCUAUAAGGAAAGUUCACCCCCCUCAUUUCCCAUAAUCCCAUGAGACCCCCAUCUGUGGCCCACAGUGUUAGUUGGCUCCCUGAGAAGCAUACUGAGAGAAAUAACUGACUCUGCUGGGUUAUGGACUGGGGCAAUUUAAAAGAGACAGAGCUGAUCAUCUUCAAAGCCUGGUAUGUUUCCCCACCCAGACACACUCAGACUUUGAUGCCCCAGGCUCAGGGCUGGAAAAUGAAUCCUUUGCUUUAAUUCUCAGGGCCAUUAUGCAUACAUAAUGCUUUCCCUACCAUUUAAAAGGAAUGUAGAUCGUAUGUAAAUGCGCCUCUGUGGAAUUGUAUAUCCCAACCUGCAUUAAGCACACAUGAAUUUCAUAGUGACAUCAUUCAGCGCCUGCUCCCUCAGUGUCUGCAUAAAAAGCAGAGAAA